rnacentral:lncRNA from 1 species
CCGGCACUCCUGGGUGCGGCACGGGACCGGAGGUGCUUUCGACCUCCGAGGCUGCGACCGCGUGUCCUGUAGCAGCAACCACUGCAGAUGGGGCGUUGCAGCUCUCGAGCUGCUGCGGCUGCAGCUGGACUUGGCAGGGGUGAGAUAAUUAGCCCUUUUGAUGCACAAGCGCCUUCCUUUCUUCUACCUUCCUGUUCUUGACAAAGGCACCCGAAAGCCAGCAAUUCCCUUAUGGAAAGGUAGAUUCAGGAGAUCUGGGCAGGACUGCGUGGCAGCGUCAGGCUCCCUUAUUUCCUAGCCCUCAAUCCAAUUCCUAGUGAGGUGGCUGUCCUACCGGACUCAAAGAAUGAAACUGCCACCUGGGCUCUGAAGAGAUGCCAGUUCCAGUAGUUCCUCAAGGGUUCAAAGAACUUCAGUGACUGCCACAGGCAAAGUGGAUUCAAAUGCUAAACGGAACCAAGCAGACCGAAGACUGCAGAAAGGAAGGUCUGACACUGAGCACAGAUGGGGGGGGGGGGGGGAAGAGACGAAGCUUCCAGAAAUUCAGAUCUCCUCCCAGCUGCCCCUCCCUACCCAACUUGUAAAGGUUGCUUUGUGCUUUGACCAGGAGAGGCCUGGUUGGAAAGUGACUCUACUCUGUCUUAAUACAGAAACGCCUUACUAUGCUCCAGUGCAGCGGCGGACGGCCCGGUGUUAUUUCUGGAAUCCCCAAGGCCAGGCU